CAGCCGUAAACUAUGCUCGCUAGGUGUCAGGCAUGGCGCGACCGUGUCUGGUGCCGCAGGGAAGCCGUGAAGCGAGCCACCUGGGAAGUACGGCCGCAAGGCUGAACUUAAGGAAUUGGCGGGGGAGCACCACAACGGGUGGAGCCUGCGGUUUAAUUGGACUCAACGCCGGGAAGCUCACCGGAUAAGACAGCGGAAUGAUUGCCGGGCUGAAGACUCUGCAUGACUAGCUGAGAGGUGGUGCAUGGCGUAGACGUGU
rnacentral:rRNA from 1 species